rnacentral:rRNA from 1 species
CAGUCGAGCGAGCUUGCCUAGAUGAUUUUAGUGCUUGCACUAAAUGAAACUAGAUACAAGCGAGCGGCGGACGGGUGAGUAACACGUGGGUAACCUGCCCAAGAGACUGGGAUAACACCUGGAAACAGAUGCUAAUACCGGAUAACAACACUAGACGCAUGUCUAGAGUUUGAAAGAUGGUUCUGCUAUCACUCUUGGAUGGACCUGCGGUGCAUUAGCUAGUUGGUAAGGUAACGGCUUACCAAGGCAAUGAUGCAUAGCCGAGUUGAGAGACUGAUCGGCCACAUUGGGACUGAGACACGGCCCAAACUCCUACGGGAGGCAGCAGUAGGGAAUCUUCCACAAUGGACGAAAGUCUGAUGGAGCAACGCCGCGUGAGUGAAGAAGGGUUUCGGCUCGUAAAGCUCUGUUGGUAGUGAAGAAAGAUAGAGGUAGUAACUGGCCUUUAUUUGACGGUAAUUACUUAGAAAGUCACGGCUAACUACGUGCCAGCAGCCGCGGUAAUACGUAGGUGGCAAGCGUUGUCCGGAUUUAUUGGGCGUAAAGCGAGUGCAGGCGGUUCAAUAAGUCUGAUGUGAAAGCCUUCGGCUCAACCGGAGAAUUGCAUCAGAAACUGUUGAACUUGAGUGCAGAAGAGGAGAGUGGAACUCCAUGUGUAGCGGUGGAAUGCGUAGAUAUAUGGAAGAACACCAGUGGCGAAGGCGGCUCUCUGGUCUGCAACUGACGCUGAGGCUCGAAAGCAUGGGUAGCGAACAGGA